rnacentral:rRNA from 1 species
ACGGGUGAGUAAUGUCUGGGGAUCUGCCCGAUAGAGGGGGAUAACCACUGGAAACGGUGGCUAAUACCGCAUAACGUCGCAAGACCAAAGAGGGGGACCUUCGGGCCUCUCACUAUCGGAUGAACCCAGAUGGGAUUAGCUAGUAGGCGGGGUAACGGCCCACCUAGGCGACGAUCCCUAGCUGGUCUGAGAGGAUGACCAGCCACACUGGAACUGAGACACGGUCCAGACUCCUACGGGAAGCAGCAGUGGGGAAUAUUGCACAAUGGGCGCAAGCCUGAUGCAGCCAUGCCGCGUGUAUGAAGAAGGCCUUCGGGUUGUAAAGUACUUUCAGCGGGGAGGAAGGCGAUGUGGUUAAUAACCGCAUUGAUUGACGUUACCCGCAGAAGAAGCACCGGCUAACUCCGUGCCAGCAGCCGCGGUAAUACGGAGGGUGCAAGCGUUAAUCGGAAUUACUGGGCGUAAAGCGCACGCAGGCGGUCUGUUAAGUCAGAUGUGAAAUCCCCGGGCUUAACCUGGGAACUGCAUUUGAAACUGGCAGGCUUGAGUCUCGUAGAGGGGGGUAGAAUUCCAGGUGUAGCG